rnacentral:rRNA from 1 species
GUAGUGGCGGGGACUCUUCCAAGACUGCGGGUGCGAACCGUGGGGAAGGUGGGGAUGACGUCAAAUCAUCACGGCCCUUAUAUCCUGGGCUACACACGUGCUACAAUGGGGAGUACAGAAAGCAGCUACCUGGCAACAGGAUGCGAAUCUCCAAAGCUUGUCUCAGUUCGGA